GAGCGAGUAGAGUGGCGCACGGGUGAGUAACACGUAGGUAAUGUACCUCUUCGCUGGGGAUAACUCCGGGAAACCGGAGCUAAUACCGAAUGAGCUGCGAAGGUCUGCGGACCUUAUCGGCAAAGGCGCAAGCCGCGAAGAGAUCAGCCUGCGUCCCAUUAGCUAGUUGGCAGGGUAACGGCCCACCAAGGCGACGAUGGGUAGCUGGUCUGAGAGGAUGACCAGCCACACUGGAACUGGUACACGGUCCAGACUCCCACGGGAGUCAGCAGUUGGGAAUAUUGCACAAUGGGCUCAAGCCUGAUGCAGCAAUCCCGCGUGAGUGAUGAAGGUCUUCGGAUCGUAAAGCUCUUUUAGCAGGGACGAAGGGUAACUUGACGGUACCUGCAGAAAAAGCACCGGCUAACUACGUGCCAGCAGCCGCGGUAAUACGUAGGGUGCAAGCGUUGUUCGGAAUCAUUGGGCGUAAAGCGCGUGUAGUCGGUUGACUAAGUCCGGUGUGAAAUCCCGGGGCUUAACUCCGGAAGUGCAUUGGAUACUGGUCAACUAGAGGACGGGAGAGGAAAGCGGAAUUCCUGGUGUAGGGGUGAAAUCCGUAGAUAUCAGGAGGAAUGCCGGAGGCGAAGGCGGCUUUCUGGUCCGUUUCUGACGCUGAGACGCGAAAGCGUGGGUAGCAAACAGGAUUAGAUACCCUGGUAGUCCACGCCCUAAACGAUGGACACUAGUCGUCGGGAUACCUAAUUGUCUCGGCGGCGAAGCUAAC
rnacentral:rRNA from 1 species